rnacentral:miRNA from 1 species
ACGUUGAGCCAUACGCACAAUA